rnacentral:rRNA from 1 species
GACGAACGCUGGCGGCGUGCCUAAUACAUGCAAGUAGAACGCUGAAGGAGGAGCUUGCUUCUCUGGAUGAGUUGCGAACGGGUGAGUAACGCGUAGGUAACCUGCCUUGUAGCGGGGGAUAACUAUUGGAAACGAUAGCUAAUACCGCAUAAGAGUACAUGUUGCAUGACAUUUGCUUAAAAGUUUCAAUUGCAUCACUAGCAGAUGGACCUGCGUUGUAUUAGCUAGUUGGUGAGGUAACGGCGCACCAAGGCAACGAUACAGAGCCGAACUGAGAGGGUGAGCAGCCAGACUGGGAGUGAGACACGGCCCAGACGGAUACGGGAGGCAGCAGGAGGGAAACGUGGGGAAGGGGCGGAAGACAGAGCGCGAAACGCCGAGUGAGGGAAGAAGGACUUCGGGUCGUAAAGCUCUGUUGUCGGAGAAGAAAGAGUGUGAGAGUGGAAAGUUGACACUGUGACGGUAUCUUACCAGAAAGGGACGGCUAACUACGUG